GGCGCAUGCGCAACUGCAACCGCACUUGAUGGGCGGUCUUCCCUGAGGACGGAGUGGAGGCGCCAUGGCGGUUGCGGGCCAGCGUGUGGGGCUGGCUGGUCUGCGGGAGGAAGACGUUUCCCGCCCGCGCCCCGGCCGGUGCAAAGGGGCUGUGCUCUCUCCUCGAGGUUCCGCGUCUUCCUUUCCGGCCGCCCCGCACGGUGUAUCCCCACCUUCUCAGCAAAAACUGUGACCAUUAAAAGCAAGAAAUGAUAUCCAGGCAAGUUAUUUUCCUGGUGGAACAAUGUAGCUGUAAGAAAAUAGUAAAUUUCUUCAGGUGUGAACCCUGGUCAUCCACAUGUGAAACCUGGGAAUGAGUGUCCCAGGACUGACGCCUUCCUCAAGCUCAGCACCUAGAACAUAGAUCUGAUUGAGCUAAACUGGUGAUGCACCUGCUUCCCAGCAAGGUUGUGGCCUCUAAUGGCUGUCUCCUGCUCCUGUGUCCGUGGCCUGCUCAGGAUAUGGGAGACACUUAGGCUGAUUCCUCAGUGCCUUGUGUACUUCCAAGGCCGAGAACUUGCUGAGCAAAACAUAACUUCUUUACUUUUGUGAACACCUGGCCUCCAAAAGGCAGAAAUAUUUAGUGACAAUGUACUGAGGACAUAAUUCCUUAGUCAUUCCCUGACCUCCACUCUCUGUCACAGAGACAUGCGAAACCACGGUAUCAGGCUUAUGGGUCAUGAAUUGGCUGUGUCAAGAAGUUCUAGGCCAUGUGGGAAGACUCCUCUCUCCUCUGAGAUUUCUGCUUCAACCAACGGGGAGCGGCUUUCCUUCAGGUCUGAACUGAAACCCUAUCUCAGAAUUUCUCACUUCGCCAGUGUCUACACUAGUGGAUCUCAGAACAAAUUCUCAAGUCACUGAAAUUGUUUCUUGCCACGACAACGCUGUAUGGUCAUCUAGUCGUCCUUGCAGCAGCGGACGCCAGGUAACAACCAAAUGGAGGAAAAACCACCGGGACAGAUCUGCAUGGCACGGAAGAGAAGGUGCGCCUCCACCCGUCCGAACUCAUGCCCUCUGGCCCACCGCAGGUACCACUUCUCUCCACGGGUUGUCUCCUCGUCCACACGCGCGUUCAGAGGCCAUUCCGGUACGAGAUUCUCACGAGGAGCCUCUGACAACCGCGCCCACCCAGGACCGCGCAUCGCCUCGUGCCUUCUCACGACCAUCACCAGACGCCCCAGGCAGCUCCCCAUUUCCACAUUUGUUAGGCUUCUCCGACCACCAAGCCACAAGCGGAACCGUGGCUGCGCCUGGAGCGCCCUCCCCUCUCGCCCGCGACUGUCCUUGCUGUCACCUGUGGUGAGAGACCUGGUCCACACAAGCGCUUCGCCGACGAAGCCAGCAGAAGUGGGGACGCCGGGCGCUCCCCCUUAGACGCACUUCGGCCUGCAGGGGAAUACCGUCUGCGGAGCCGCAUGACCGCUUUUCGCGGAUUUCGGAGAAAGUAGCCGCAUGGGAGGAGCUCCACCACGGCGACGGGAGCGGGACGCACCGUUUUCCCAAGGCGGCCAAGAAGCAGCACCGGGCGUCCUAUUGGACGGGGCGUGGCGGUCCCGUGGGAAGGAGGACGUGAAGGCCGGGGUCGCACUUCCAGUGCCUCCUCGUUACGCCAUUCGGGCCCUACCCACUGCGGAGAAAAACAAAUUUGGGAAUAAGGGCGAA